CAGUCGCCGCGGUAAUACGUAGGGUGCGAGCGUUAAUCGGAAUUACUGGGCGUAAAGCGUGCGCAGGCGGUCCGUUAAGACAGAUGUGAAAUCCCCGGGCUUAACCUGGGAACUGCAUUUGUGACUGGCGAGCUAGAGUAUGGCAGAGGGGGGUAGAAUUCCACGUGUAGCAGUGAAAUGCGUAGAGAUGUGGAGGAAUACCGAUGGCGAAGGCAGCCCCCUGGGCCAAUACUGACGCUCAUGCACGAAAGCGUGGGGAGCAAACAGGAUUAGAUACCCGCGUAGUCCCUGUCUCUUAUAC
rnacentral:rRNA from 1 species